rnacentral:rRNA from 1 species
UACGUAGGGUGCAAGCGUUAAUCGGAAUUACUGGGCGUAAAGCGUGCGCAGGCGGUUUUGUAAGACAGAGGUGAAAUCCCCGGGCUCAACCUGGGAACUGCCUUUGUGACUGCAAGGCUUGAGUGCGGCAGAGGGGGAUGGAAUUCCGCGUGUAGCAGUGAAAUGCGUAGAUAUGCGGAGGAAUACCGAUGGCGAAGGCAGCCCCCUGGGAUAACACUGACGCUCAUGCACGAAAGCGUGGGGAGCAAACAGG